GUCUACGGCCACGCCACCCUGAACAAGCCCGAUCCCAUCUGAUCUCGGAAGCUAAGCAGGGUUGGACCUGAUUAGUACUUGGACGAGAGACCACCUAGGAAGACCAGGUGCUGUAGGCU
rnacentral:rRNA from 1 species